CCGCUCCCUGGUUUCACUCUCUGCCGCGGGGUCAGCCCAGGCCUGCCGCGCACAGCCGGCAAGGGGGCGCUCGCGUCCCGCAGAACCGCGCCCUCGGCUUCCCUUUGGUUUUCUGGAAAGGCACGGGAAUCUGCUUAUUUACAUCCGCGAUGCGGUCCGCUGGUCUUGGAAGACAAAGUGACAAAUAUUUAAUUAGACGGUUAGAUGAAGCUGGACAGGAUCACAUGUCUUUUGACCUCUGUUGCCUGUGCAACUCUCACCUCAUCCCAAUGCAGACAUGUAGGAAGGAGGAGGCUCGCAGAGGACAGACACAGAAAAAAAUCACCUGCGAAGGAACUCAUCCGAGAGCAACCCACAAUGUCUGUUGUGCACUACAAUUCAAUGUGCUGAACAAAACCUACAAGGUAUAG
rnacentral:lncRNA from 1 species